rnacentral:rRNA from 1 species
AGAGUUUGAUCCUGGCUCAGGAUGAACGCUAGCUACAGGCUUAACACAUGCAAGUCGAGGGGCAGCAUAUCGAAAGCUUGCUUUGAUGAUGGCGACCGGCGCACGGGUGAGUAACGCGUAUCCAACCUUCCCUAUACUAGAGGAUAGCCCGGCGAAAGUCGGAUUAAUACUCUAUGUUGUAUUUCGAGGACAUCUGAAUAAUACCAAAGGUUUACCGGUAUAGGAUGGGGAUGCGUCUGAUUAGGUUGUUGGCGGGGUAACGGCCCACCAAGCCUACGAUCAGUAGGGGUUCUGAGAGGAAGGUCCCCACAUUGGAACUGAGACACGGUCCAAACUCCUACGGGAGGCAGCAGUGAGGAAUAUUGGUCAAUGGACGAGAGUCUGAACCAGCCAAGUAGCGUGCAGGAUGACGGCCCUAUGGGUUGUAAACUGCUUUUAUACAGGGAUAAAGUGACGUACGUGUACGUUUUGUAGGUACUGUAUGAAUAAGGACCGACUAAUUCCGUGCC